CCAGCUAUGCAACCCAAGAGGCGGGGGUGAAUUGGGUUUCUAAAAAUUUUAAGCCCAACUGAUUACUUAUGAAGAACAAAACAAAGACUUUAAUUCAAUAUUAAUUACCUAAAGCAGGAAUGCAAGAAUAUAAUAAAGAAAUAAAGUGAAGCGAUAAAGCACACCACAAACACAAGGAUUUAUAGUGGUUCGGUGCUAACCUUGCACUUACAUCCACUCCCCAAGCUCCUACUUGAGAAUUUCAAUCC
rnacentral:lncRNA from 1 species